UUGUUUCAUUAUUUAUGAACAUACUAAAUUUUUCUUAGUAAGAGGGGUACUUUUAUUUCUUGAUAACUGAGUAUGUGACGUUCCGCCCCUUAUAGAAUCGAUUAUUGAUGGGAAGAUAUUAUUUAACUAUCCAAAAUGAUUUAAUUAUUUUCAGAAUUAUUUUCUUUCAAUGUUUAUUCAAAUAGAACUUAAACCCAUCUCAGAAUUUUUAAAUGCUUGAUGACGUCACAUUUAAAACGUGGCAACAUUGGUUUCCCCACUUUGACAGCCAAUGCUUAGUAGAGGGGUACGAAGGAUUGAGCUGUGAACGUGAGCCUUGGAUUGCCAUUGUUUCUCGAGUGUUCGGUCUGAAUCGUAGUGUGCGGGGUCAUUAGACUCAAUUAUUCACCUCUAAUUCUCAGUUCCAAAUUGAUUAAAUAUUACAAUAAAAGUAUAGUGAAGUUAUCCAGCAGCAGUGGAUUUGAAGAAUUUUAGAGCAUACUAUAUCCAAUGAGUUCUACCCCGCACCUACCAUGAAAUCUUAAAGCCACCCUACAACAACACCAAGGCCAGACCACACAGAGAGAAACAAUCAAUAGGCGACCAGCCUGGAUUAUUUCCACAUUUUCUUUUUUUUGAGUACCUCCAGCUGCUUUCCAACAGUUUUGAGUACCUUCAGCUGCUUUCUACCGGUCUUCCUCUCCUGUACCUCCAGCAGGACAGCUGCUAGCGAGAGUUAGCACCCUUGGGUGCUCAUUACAUCAACUUCAAGAUUAGGAAAGAGUGGUUUGUUUGGGAACAUUUACUGUGCUCUUAUUAAAGACAGACUGGUUUUGUGAUAUUUAGUACAUUUUUUUUUAUAGUUCAAUUGCACACACAUUUUUCCUGCUUUAUAUUUUUUAUAGGUUUUUUUUUCUUUACAACAUAAUAUUUAAUUGAUAGCGUUCCCCAACACUCUGCAAUCUAUAAAGGUAUAAAUUUCUGAGCUCAGAUAUUUUCCCUGAUAAUAGUAGUCGGUACUCUUAUCUUGAUUAUUUUUAGGCUGUGUUCCACUUUUGUAUAAUUAUUUAAACUCAUUCCAUUAUUUUAGUAUAUGUUUAAUUAAAUUUUUAAAAAUUAACUUCACAUAUUAGUCAAAAUUGUAAUUAUUAACUUUAUUUAACUUGAACUUAUUAACUUUACUUAACUUUAACUUAUUAACUUUAUUUAACUUUAACUUUAAUUUAUUAAAUUCAUAUGAACUUCUGGAUUCUAAUCCCUCAGAUUAGUUUUUGGUUUCACUUGUUAUUAUUACUAUUAUAAACCACGAGUUAGGAAAAGGAUCUGUGUAUCCACUCGUAGGUUUAUUUAUUCAAUAAGGCUUGUGCCUGUCCCACUCACAGUGAGGUAUUUAUAUGUUAUAUAUAGUAUCAGGUAGUAUUUAAUUAAGGUGUACGUAUUAUAAACGUACAAUUAUUAUUUGGUGAGGGUUCUACUAACCUAGUUGUAAGUUGUACUUCCUGUAUUAGAGGUACCCGUAGUCAGUUUUUCUAACCUUAUAAAGAGUAUUCUUAGAUCAUAGUUGUAUGAUGAUUUUGUAAUUGACUUUCACUAGUAUCACUUUUUCCUGUCAUGUUAGAGUUACACACUAGUUACUUGUCCUAACUCAGAGGUUGUUAAAAAGAUCUAGUAGUUACAUUCAAUAAAUAUACAUUUAUUGUGA
rnacentral:lncRNA from 1 species